rnacentral:lncRNA from 1 species
UCUAAUUUAUUACAGAAAUUUAAGCAUAAUAACACAAAUAUUUGAAUCUGAAAAUAUUGUUUAUUGAAAAUAUACCUUGAUUACAGAGAGUUGAUGACUACAGGUUGUUGACAGCAGAGGAAUGACUCUAACUCAAAGAAAUUUACAAAAGAAAAUUUUUGAACUCUCAGAAUUUUUUCACUAAUUUUUUGAACUCUCAAAACUCUUGAAACUCUCCCUUAGCUAUUGGAACUCUUGAACCCUUGCAGACUUCUCUCUUGCCGACCUCUGCCUUGAUGAAGAAGGUUGAAGCUGCUUAUAUAGGUGAGGAUUCGGACUUCAGAUGAAUCUUCAAUCUUGAAAGUUUUUGAAUUCCAUCACAUGUAGGCCAGGUGGAGCAUUCUGUAGAAGAAAGAGUGAGAGAAGAAAGAGAAGAGAUAUUCUUUUCUUUCCCAAAGCUCCACGUUGCUUUCCAAGUAAGUUGGUAGACAAAGUCUACUAUUCAUCUUUUGACUUAUUGGAUUUUUUUUUUUUUUUACAAACUUUGCACACCUUCAGAUUUCACAUACUUUUUACACUUUCAUACUUUUCCUUUUUUUUUUUUUUUUACUGGAUAAACACAAAGAGACAAUUGUACAGAUAUACAGAUGUACAAAAGAUUUUUGAAAUCUUUUAUCUAGAUUGACCCAUAGGUCCUCCGUAAAGGAUAAACUCAGGGUCUACGUAUGAAUCAUCUGAUAAGACUGCAUCUUCAGUUGUUUCUUCAUUUUCUUGAUCUCCAAACUUCUUGAGGGUUUGAAUAAGUCCUUGACAAUAUUGCUCUAAAUCAGUAGCGGCUGCUAAUGAAGCUUGACAUUUGCUUUUCAAAGUUAGGAAUUCUUCUUGAGUCGGUCCUUGAGAAGAACUAGUUGAAUCUUUUGAGUUUGAUGAACCUGGCCUUGUUGAUAUUAAUUGCAAAACCUUCUGUUGACAUACAAAAUCAUGAUUGAAUUUGUCCCACCAUUUGAUGCUGAAUUCUCUAGAAAGAGAUAAUGGAAAAGGAAGAGGUUGCUCUUGCUUCUUGAUGAUGUUCCAUGUGAGAAUCCAUGGAAUUCUUAAUCUCGAACAGAACGUCAGGAGUCUAGGCUGAAUGAUAUUCUGUGAUGAAGUCUUGCUCUUGUAGAAGUUAAAUUUUUCUUGAAUAUCAGGAGGAAAUACUGAAUCUAGUAGACCAAAGAAAGUCCACCAUUUUUGAAACCAAGCAGGAAAUUUGGUAUUGCAGCUUCUGGAAAAUUGGAUGAACCAGGAAUGCUGGUAGCUUUGCAAGUAAAACAUAUUGUACCAAGCAUUCAUGUAGUCUAUGUAAUUGUAGCUCAUGGGAUGGAAAGGUUGACUAAAAGCCUUGCAAGUGAAGGGUUUUUUAUUCCAAUCUGCAAUGGUCAUGACUCUGAGAAUUUGACAUUUGGAAAAAGCAAUCCUCUGAGGAUGUUUUUAUCAGUGUUAUGAGUAAUUUCAACUGAAUCAGUGUCCACCAAGAUGAACUCAUAGAAUUGACGAGUUUUCAAAGGAUCAUUUGAAUUGAAGUUGACUCCUUGAGGAAAGAUAUAAGGAAGAAUUUUAGGAAUCUCUUCAAAAUUGAACUCUGGCUCAAUGAAAGCAAUUUCUAAGGUUUUGGGUUUUUUGACAUAUUGACUAUAAGAAUAUGAAGGAGAAGGAGACUGAGAAGGAGAAGGUAAUGUCGAAAUAGUGUUGGGACUGGAUUGACUCUGAACAACAAUAUUUUUAGGAGAUGAUUUAGAAGCUUGAAUAAAACUUUUUGAAGGUUGAAGAGGAGGAAAAUCUGGACUCAAAACUUGAAAGGAAUUUGAUGUUUGCAAAGGAAAAGUAGGACGAACAUUUGAAAAGUUUGAAAUCAUAGCAUAUGAAGCUUUGGUUUUCUUUGAUGAAGAAGGAAGUUGGGGCCUAACGGGAGUACCCAUUAGGAUGGAGAAGGAUCCUUACCCUGCAAAAACUCCCGAGUAAGGAAGUCAGGAAGGGAAUUCAACUCUCCUUUGAUAAAUUCGAUUUCAAAAUCAAAAUUUGAAAGUAAAGCUUGCCAUCUUGCAAAAAUUUGUUUUGAAACCAAAUUUUUAACAUCUUUUUGUAAAAUAUCUUUUGCAGCUUUGCAAUCAAUUUUCAAAAGAAAUUUCUUGUUUAUCAAAUCACUUUGAAAUUUUGAAAUACACAAAACUAUUGAUAAAACUUCUUUUUUGACAGUUGAAUAAUUUAUUUGAGCGCCCAACCAGAUCCCUGAAUGAUAUCUAACUAUAUGCACUUGAUUGUUAUAUUCUUGCUUUAAUAUGCCUCCAUAACCUAAAUUAGAUGCAUCUGAUUCUACAAUGAGUAAUGCAUUUGGAUGAGGGAUGCUGAUGCAUGGUAAACGUUUGACUCUUUGUUUAAUUUCUUUGACUAAAUUAGUAUGAUGAUUACUCCAUGCAGGUGCAUUUUUUCUUAGUCUUUUGUAUAAUGGUUCACAAAUGAUUCUCAAAUCUUUGAAGUAAUCCGAAACAUAAUUUAAACAACCUAAAAAUCUUUGCAAUUGUUUUUUAUCUUUUAUUUCAUCAAGAAAUUUGUCAGCAAAUUCUAUUGACCUUUGAAUUGGUUUUGUUUUUCCUUGAAAAAUUUCAUGACCUAAAAAUCUGAUUUUUGUUUGAAACAAUUUCAUUUUUGGAGCAGAACAAGCCAUUCCAUUUGCUUUAAUGACAUUAAAAAACUUUUUCAAAUGAAUAAAAUGUUUUUCUAAUGAAUCAGAAAAUACUAAAACAUCAUCAAUGUAUACAAUUAUGAAUUGAAAAUGAGAAUUAAAAAUAUCAUUCAUAAUAUUUUGAAAUUCAGAAGGGGCAUUUUUGAGACCAAAAGGCAUGACAUUCCAUUCAUAAUGACCAAAAGGGACAGUAAAAGCAGUUUUGUAUCUAUCUUCUUUUCUAAUUUGAACCUGCCAGAAUCCUGAUUUCAUAUCAAAUUUUGAAUAAAUGACAGAACUAUGAAGUCUUUUGAGUAAGUCUUGCUUAUUAGGAAUAGGGUAUCUUAUCCAUUGUAAUACUUUAUUUAAAGGUUUAUAAUUAAUGACUAAUCUAGGUGCUCCUCUUUCUAUCUCAGCAGCAUUUUGAACAUAAAAGGCAGCACAACUCCAAGGAGAUUUUGAGGGUCUAAUUAAUUUCUUCUUUAAUAAUGAAUCAAUUUCUUGUUUGCAAUAUUCUAAAAGCUUUUCAUUCAUUUGAAUCGGCCUAGCCUUAGUAGGAAUUUUGGACUCAUCAAAAUUUUGAAUGUAAGGCAAACUUAUCUCAUGUUUCUUUCUUGACCAAAAAGCAUUAGGAAGAUCAGAACAAAUUUCAUUUUGAAAAAGAUCUUGAAUCUCUUUUAUUUUCUUUUUAACUUUAUCUUCUAAAAGUUGUUCAUCUACUUUUUUAUAUUGAAUUUCUUUUGAUAGAUAAUUUAUAUGAGCUUUCUUUCUUUGAAUUAAAUUUAUAUUUUUAUUUAUUGAAUCACUUUGAACUUGAUGUAUUUCUUUUUUAGUUAAUGGAUAUAUAAAGGGAAAAAAUAUGGUAUUUCCUAAUAUUGUAGUUUUGACACCUUCAUCAUUUACUUGAAAAGGGUAAAGUAAGGUAAUAAAAGGAGUUCCUAAUAUUAAAGGUUCAUUCAUAUUUUGUACUAAUAUAAAUUGAGUUCUAAAACAAUAAUUAUCUUGACAUAUAUGAACAUUUUGAAGUUUAUAUUCUAUUUCUAAUUUUCCUUUAUUUGCAGCAAAAAGUUCUUGUUCUGUUUUUUCAUAAUAUUUAGUAGGAAUUAUUCCUUCUUGAAUACAAUUCAUAUCAGCUCCUGAGUCUAUUAAUGCUACUAUUUCUAUUUCAAAAUCUUCAACUAUAAUUUUUAUAUUUGUAUACCAUCUUUGAAAAUCUAUUUUUGAUAUUGUAUUUAUAAAUGAUUCUAUAGGAGUUAUUUUAUUGGGUAUUAUUAUUCCUGGUUCUUGGUUUUCAGAAGUUUCAGCUAAAUCUUGUUUAUAUUGUAUUACGUUUCUAAUUUGUUCAUUCUCUUGUUUUAUUUGAUCAUUUUCUUGUUUUAUUAUUUCAUUUUCUAAUCUUAUUUGUUCAUUAUCUAAUUUUAAUUGAUUUAUUUGACUUUUUAUUUCUUUUAUUUCUUCUUCCAAGUCUUUAAUGGUUAUUGGCCUUUGAGUCUUUUUGAAUCUAUUAUAAAUUUCAUCCAUUGAAUAUUGAUUAGGUUUGAUGUCUUGAGUUUUAUUUGGAUUUUCAGUGAGAAUUAAAUUUUUUAAAUUUUGUAAAUAAGUUCUUUGUAUUUCUUCAUCUUGAAUUUUGUCUACAACAUCAAAAAAUAUUUGCUUAUCUACUUUUGAAGAUAUUACAUUUAUCUUUUUGAUUUCUUUUGGAUUUUCUAUCUUUGUUGUUUUUGAUGUUUCUGUUGAUGUUUUUGUUUUUGUUUCUGUUUUUGUUUCUGUUUCUUCCACCUCUCCCGGGGCAGAAGAAAACAAAAUUUGAUUAAAUUUUGUUUCACUUGAUUCUUCUUUUGAUUCUUUACUUGACUCUUCUAGAUUUGUUUUUUGUUGUUCUAACAGUUUUUUAUUAUGUGGAGAAUUUUCUAUUGCUUUUCUUGAAGUUAAUGUUGCAAUUCUUUUAAGGGGUUUCCGAUAUUUGAAAAACCAAAGGAAAAAAGGAAUAGUCAUCUUAACUUGUUGCAUAUAUUUUUCAUAUUGUUUUCUUAAUGCAUUUCUAACUUGAGGAGGAAGUUGUUGAAAAUAAUUUCUUUUUGCAGUAUUUUCAGGAGAAAAAUAAUUAGCUUUAAUUACUUCUACGUCAGGAACAAAAGGAUUUCUUUUAAUGUAUCUUUUCCUAAUGAUAUUUAUGUUUAAAGGAGGUUUAUCAUGAGAUAAAAUUUUUGACUCAGACUCUUCUUCAAAAAGAGAAAUUUCAGGAACAAAGUUUGAACUAAUUUUUAGUUGAUUUUCUAUUUGAUUUAACUCUUUAUUAAAUUUUGAAUUAUUAAAUUUUAUGUGAUGACACCAUGAUGAUGCAGCUAAUGAUGCAGCAGGUAAUGAUGCAGAUGAUGAUGUAGUGGAUGCAUUUGAAAAUCUCAUUAACUUAUAUGAAGAACUUUCUAAAUUAUAUGCAGGAUUAUUUAAUGCAAAUGCAGAACUAUCAUGGGUCCUAAGAGAUCUGGAAGAACUAUUUCUACUUAAUUUCCUCAUAAUAUUACUCAUUGUCACAGAAAAUAAUCACAAUUUUAUCCUUAAUCAAUUCAGAUAAUUUCCUGAACAGGGACCACCACAAGCGGAUCAACACGGGACUUACGCUCCUUCUGCCCUUAAACACCGCUUAUCACAGGCUGACCAAACCGUUCACAGGAAAUUCAACCCGAACUAAGUCAGGACUAAAUGUGCGAUUAAUCACUGUUCCAACUCGUAACACCACUCGGUUCUCAAGCAGAAAAUGGCUCUGAUACCAUUUGCACCCAGGACGUACAACAGUUCGUGCACGCAGUAAUUAAAUAAUUAAAUCUGUCUAAUUAUCUCCAAGCAUAAAAACUGAAAUAAUUAAUGUCUAAUACUGUCUAAUUUAUUGCAGAAAUUUAAGCAUAAUAACACAAAUAUUUGAAUCUGAAAAUAUUGUUUAUUGAAAAUAUACCUUGAUUACAGAGAGUUUGAUGACUACAGGUUGUUGACAGCAGAGGAAUGACUCUAACUCAAAGAAAAUUACAAGAGAAAAUUUUGAACUCUCAGAAUUUUUUCACUAAUUUUUUGAACUCUCAAAACUCUUGAAACUCUCUCUUAGCUAUUGAAACUCUUGAACCCUUGCAGACUUCUCUCUUGCCGAC